ACGGGUGAGUAACACGUGAGUAACCUGCCCUCUUCUUUGGGAUAACGCCCGGAAACGGGUGCUAAUACUGGAUAUUCACUGAUCUUCGCAUGGGGGUUGGUGGAAAGGUUUGUUCUGGUGGGGGAUGGGCUCGCGGCCUAUCAGCUUGUUGGUGGGGUGAUGGCCUACCAAGGCUUUGACGGGUAGCCGGCCUGAGAGGGUGACCGGUCACAUUGGGACUGAGAUACGGCCCAGACUCCUACGGGAGGCAGCAGUGGGGAAUAUUGCACAAUGGGCGCAAGCCUGAUGCAGCGACGCCGCGUGAGGGAUGGAGGCCUUCGGGUUGUAAACCUCUUUCGCUCAUGGUCAAGCCGCGACAUUGGUUGUGGUGAGGGUAGUGGGUAAAGAAGCGCCGGCUAACUACGUGCCAGCAGCCGCGGUAAUACGUAGGGCGCGAGCGUUGUCCGGAAUUAUUGGGCGUAAAGGGCUUGUAGGCGGUUGGUCGCGUCUGCCGUGAAAUUCUCUGGCUUAACUGGGGGCGUGCGGUGGGUACGGGCUGACUUGAGUGCGGUAGGGGAGACUGGAACUCCUGGUGUAGCGGUGGAAUGCGCAGAUAUCAGGAAGAACACCGGUGGCGAAGGCGGGUCUCUGGGCCGUUACUGACGCUGAGGAGCGAAAGCGUGGGGAGCGAACAGGAUUAGAUACCCUGGUAGUCCACGCUGUAAAC
rnacentral:rRNA from 1 species